CUAGGACAUGGUUCACUAUUUUUCAAUUAAAAUGAAGAAAUACCGUGUUUGUUGCAGGUUCACUUCAAGCAGUUGGCGUGUGGGACUCUGAGAGAUGCUGCUGCCCGUGACAUGUUGGGAUUACCAUGAUCAACGACCCAGUUUGGAUUUCACCCAGUGGCCAGGAGCUUUGCAUGGUGGACAGCAAGGGUUGGAUUUUUAAAAAGAGUAAACCAGCUCCUGGCUCCUCAGUGUCCCUUGGCAUCUCCAACCUUGUGACAACCACUGACAUAUACCCGACCUGUGCUGAACAGGUGUGCCCCUCGUUGAC
rnacentral:lncRNA from 1 species